rnacentral:snRNA from 1 species
AGGAGGAGGAGGAGCAGCAGCAGCAGCAGCAGCAGCAGCUGGCUCUCUAGGGCAAGACUGUGCCAGUGCACUUCAAGGCUGUGCUGAUCCCUGUGGUUUAUCCAGUCAGGAAACUCAACUACCUAAAAUUUGUGGUAGUAGGGGGCUGCAUUUGUGCUUUCCCCUG